GGGUAAAUCACAUUUAUCCCGGGGGGGUUGAGAGUUUGAUCCUGGUCAAGAUUGAAGCUUGGGGGCAGGCCUAACACAUGCAAGUCGAGCCGGAUGAGUGGAGCCUUGCUCCAUGAUUCAGCGGCGGACGGGUGAGUAAUGCCUAGGAAUCUGCCUGGUAGUGGGGGGACAACGUUUUCGAAAGGAACGCUAAUACCGCAUACGUCCUACGGGAGAAAGCAGGGGACCUUCGGGGCCUUGCGCUAUCAGAUGAGCCUAGGUCGGAUUAGCUAGUUGGUGGGGUAAUGGCCUACCAAGGCGACGAUCCGUAACUGGUCUGAGAGGAUGAUCAGUCACACUGGAACUGAGACACGGUCCAGACUCCUACGGGAGGCAGCAGUGGGGAAUAUUGGACAAUGGGCGAAAGCCUGAUCCAGCCAUGCCGCGUGUGUGAAGAAGGUCUUCGGAUUGUAAAGCACUUUAAGUU
rnacentral:rRNA from 1 species